UACGUAGGGUCCGAGCGUUGUCCGGAAUUAUUGGGCGUAAAGGGCUCGUAGGCGGUCUGCUGCGUCGGGAGUGAAAACUUACAGCUUAACUGUGAGCGUGCUUCCGAUACGGGCAGACUUGAGGUAUUCAGGGGAGAACGGAAUUCCUGGUGUAGCGGUGAAAUGCGCAGAUAUCAGGAGGAACACCGGUGGCGAAGGCGGUUCUCUGGGAAUAUCCUGACGCUGAGGAGCGAAAGUGUGGGGAGCGAACAGG
rnacentral:rRNA from 1 species